rnacentral:rRNA from 1 species
UACGGAGGGUGCGAGCGUUGUCCGGAAUUACUGGGCGUAAAGGGCGCGUAGGCGGCCUCUUAAGUCGAACGUGAAAUCCCCGGGCUCAACCCGGGAACUGCGUCCGAUACUGGGAGGCUUGAAUCCGGGAGAGGGAUGUGGAAUUCCAGGUGUAGCGGUGAAAUGCGUAGAUAUCUGGAGGAACACCGGUGGCGAAGGCGGCAUCCUGGACCGGUAUUGACGCUGAGGCGCGAAAGCGUGGGGAGCGAUCCGG